GCUUAAGUAGUUUAAUAAAAUGCCAACUUGUGGCGUUGGAGAUGCUUUGAUUAAGUCUUAAGUA
rnacentral:tRNA from 1 species